UACGAAGGGGGCUAGCGUUGUUCGGAAUUACUGGGCGUAAAGCGCGUGUAGGCGGGUCUUUAAGUCAGGGGUGAAAUGCCAAGGCUCAACCUUGGAACUGCCUUUGAUACUGGAGACCUUGAGUCCGGGAGAGGUGAGUGGAAUUGCGAGUGUAGAGGUGAAAUUCGUAGAUAUUCGCAAGAACACCAGUGGCGAAGGCGACUUACUGGACACAUAUUGACGCUGAGGUGCGAAAGCGUGGGGAGCAAACGGG
rnacentral:rRNA from 1 species